UACGUAGGGUGCAAGCGUUGUCCGGAAUUAUUGGGCGUAAAGAGCUCGUAGGCGGUCUGUCGCGUCUGCUGUGAAAACUCAGGGCUUAACCCUGAGCUUGCAGUGGGUACGGGCAGACUAGAGUGCGGUAGGGGAGACUGGAAUUCCUGGUGUAGCGGUGGAAUGCGCAGAUAUCAGGAGGAACACCGGUGGCGAAGGCGGGUUGCUGGGCUGACACGUGACGCUGAUGCGCGAAAGCCAGGGGAGCGAAGCGGGA
rnacentral:rRNA from 1 species